UGAACGCUGGCGGCGUGCCUAAUACAUGCAAGUCGAACGAUGAAGCUUCUAGCUUGCUAGAAUGCUGAUUAGUGGCGCACGGGUGAGUAACGCAUAGGUUAUGUGCCUCUUAGUUUGGGAUAGCCAUUGGAAACGAUGAUUAAUACCAGAUACUCCCUACGGGGGAAAGAUUUAUCGCUAAGAGAUCAGCCUAUGUCCUAUCAGCUUGUUGGUAAGGUAAUGGCUUACCAAGGCUAUGACGGGUAUCCGGCCUGAGAGGGUGAACGGACACACUGGAACUGAGACACGGUCCAGACUCCUACGGGAGGCAGCAGUAGGGAAUAUUGCUCAAUGGGGGAAACCCUGAAGCAGCAACGCCGCGUGGAGGAUGAAGGUUUUAGGAUUGUAAACUCCUUUUGUUAGAGAAGAUAAUGACGGUAUCUAACGAAUAAGCACCGGCUAACUCCGUGCCAGCAGCCGCGGUAAUACGGAGGGUGCAAGCGUUACUCGGAAUCACUGGGCGUAAAGAGCGCGUAGGCGGGAUAGUCAGUCAGGUGUGAAAUCCUAUGGCUUAACCAUAGAACUGCAUUUGAAACUACUAUUCUAGAGUGUGGGAGAGGUAGGUGGAAUUCUUGGUGUAGGGGUAAAAUCCGUAGAGAUCAAGAGGAAUACUCAUUGCGAAGGCGACCUGCUGGAACAUUACUGACGCUGAUUGCGCGAAAGCGUGGGGAGCAAACAGGAUUAGAUACCCUGGUAGUCCACGCCCUAAACGAUGGAUGCUAGUUGUUGGAGGGCUUAGUCUCUCCAGUAAUGCAGCUAACGCAUUAAGCAUCCCGCCUGGGGAGUACGGUCGCAAGAUUAAAACUCAAAGGAAUAGACGGGGACCCGCACAAGCGGUGGAGCAUGUGGUUUAAUUCGAAGAUACACGAAGAACCUUACCUAGGCUUGACAUUGAGAGAAUCCGCUAGAAAUAGUGGAGUGUCUGGCUUGCCAGACCUUGAAAACAGGUGCUGCACGGCUGUCGUCAGCUCGUGUCGUGAGAUGUUGGGUUAAGUCCCGCAACGAGCGCAACCCCCUUUCUUAGUUGCUAACAGGUCAUGCUGAGAACUCUAAGGAUACUGCCUCCGUAAGGAGGAGGAAGGUGGGGACGACGUCAAGUCAUCAUGGCCCUUACGCCUAGGGCUACACACGUGCUACAAUGGGGUGCACAAAGAGAAGCAAUACUGCGAAGUGGAGCCAAUCUUCAAAACACCUCUCAGUUCGGAUUGUAGGCUGCAACUCGCCUGCAUGAAGCUGGAAUCGCUAGUAAUCGCAAAUCAGCCAUGUUGCGGUGAAUACGUUCCCGGGUCUUGUACUCACCGCCCGUCACACCAUGGGAGUUGUGUUUGCCUUAAGUCAGGAUGCUAAAUUAGCUACUGCCCACGGCACACACAGCGACUGGGGUGAAGUCGUAACAAG
rnacentral:rRNA from 1 species